AAAAAAAAAAACAACAAAAAAAAGGAUACUAGAGAGCUCUUUCAUUCUCUUUCCACCUUGUGACAAUAUGAGAAGUCAGCUGUCUGUAACCUGGAAAGGGACCCUUGGCAGAAUCCAACUGUGCUGGCACCCUGAUUUUGGAUAUCCAGCCUGCAGAACUAUUCUGAACCAUUGGUUCAGUAGUCAUUCAGCUACAUGGUUCCUGACACAUGGAAUAACCAAUUCUAUACAGAGUCAUUUCCAUGAGAAAAUAACCCCAGGAAAACUGGCUGUGCUUACCUUGUUA